AGCAUUUGCGACAGAUUUCUUCGGGAUGAAGUUGCUUAUGACUGAGUGGCGGACGGGUGAGUAACGCGUGGGUAACCUGCCUUGUACUGGGGGAUAGCAGCUGGAAACGGCUGGUAAUACCGCAUAAGCGCACAAUGUUGCAUGACAUGGUGUGAAAAACUCCGGUGGUAUAAGAUGGACCCGCGUCUGAUUAGCUAGUUGGUGAGAUAACAGCCCACCAAGGCGACGAUCAGUAGCCGACCUGAGAGGGUGACCGGCCACAUUGGGACUGAGACACGGCCCAGACUCCUACGGGAGGCAGCAGUGGGGAAUAUUGCACAAUGGAGGAAACUCUGAUGCAGCGACGCCGCGUGAGUGAAGAAGUAAUUCGUUAUGUAAAGCUCUAUCAGCAGGGAAGAUAGUGACGGUACCUGACUAAGAAGCUCCGGCUAAAUACGUGCCAGCAGCCGCGGUAAUACGUAUGGAGCAAGCGUUAUCCGGAUUUACUGGGUGUAAAGGGAGUGUAGGUGGCCAUGCAAGUCAGAAGUGAAAAUCCGGGGCUCAACCCCGGAACUGCUUUUGAAACUGUAAGGCUGGAGUGCAGGAGGGGUGAGUGGAAUUCCUAGUGUAGCGGUGAAAUGCGUAGAUAUUAGGAGGAACACCAGUGG
rnacentral:rRNA from 1 species